GACGAACGCUGGCGGCGUGCCUAACAUAUGCAAGUCGAGCGAAUGAAAUUCCUUCGGGAACGGAUUUAGCGGCGGACGGGUGAGUAACACGUGGGCAACCUGCCUCAUAGAGGGGAAUAGCCUUCCGAAAGGGAGAUUAAUACCGCAUAAGAUUGUAGUACCGCAUGGUACAGCAAUUAAAGGAGCAAUCCGCUAUGAGAUGGGCCCGCGGCGCAUUAGCUAGUUGGUGAGGUAACGGCUCACCAAGGCGACGAUGCGUAGCCGACCUGAGAGGGUGAUCGGCCACAUUGGGACUGAGACACGGCCCAGACUCCUACGGGAGGCAGCAGUGGGGAAUAUUGCACAAUGGGGGAAACCCUGAUGCAGCAACGCCGCGUGAGUGAUGACGGCCUUCGGGUUGUAAAGCUCUGUCUUCGGGGACGAUAACGACGGUACCUGAGGAGGAAGCCACGGCUAACUACGUGCCAGCCGCCGCGGUAACAC
rnacentral:rRNA from 1 species